rnacentral:lncRNA from 1 species
AGAGGCAGAAAUGGAGGUUGGGUCAGGCCUGGCUCAGACCCUAGGCUCUGUCACUGACUGGCUGUGUGGGUCCAGGAAAGUCCUUGUCCUCUCUGGGCCUCAGUUUCCUCUGAAGAAUGGGAGUGAUAAGCUAUGCCCCAUCUCCUUCACCAAAAGGAAGCAAGACCUGAUGGAGCUGCUGGGUAACUGGAGAUGCCUCCUGCUGGCUCCUUUCUGGGGUCCCUGCCUAGCCCUGUCCUCUCCUCUUACUUUCUGCCCUGGCUGAGUAGGCUGUGGCCAUGUGGUUACUGCCUUCUCUGGGCAUAGCUGAUUGCUUCAUAUGGCCUGACCUAAGGCUGCAUGUCCAAAGUCUGGUUGGUGGCCAGUCUAACUCACUUUUGAGAACCUGCACUAAAAGAGGUAGGGGGUGGGAAAAACUGGGCAGGCCAGCGGAGGUGGGGAGUGGCAGCUCUGAGACCUGAAGCCUCAGAACCAGCUCUCCUCCUCCUCUUCCUCCUCAAGAUGGACCUCAACUCACUGAACUCUGGUUCACUCUUUUGGUCCCAGAGCUAAUUCUUUGGUUGUUUAAGGUUUAGCAUAGGAGACCCCAAAGCAGCAAGGUUCUGGCCCUGGUUCUGCCACUUGCCAGCUCCACGCCCUCAGAUCAGUGGCUUCAGAGCCUCAACGUGCUCAGCUGUGAAACAGGGACAGGGUGAGGCCUUCCCAGGUAUGAUCCACUGUGCCCAUCCUGGAUGCAGACUUUAAGCAGAGUCACAUCAACAAGAAGAGCUGUGAAGGUCAGGGCAUGACCCACAGAUGCCCAAACACUGCACUGGAGGUCCAGGAAGAUUCUGCUGACAACGCAACCCUGAGCCAAGAUCUGAAGGAUAAGAGGGAGCUUAUAACAUGGAAGAAGGAACAGUAUUCCUGGCAAGUGGAACAGCAUGUGCAAAGGUCAGGUGGUAAGAGGGGCUUCAAGGACAGUCCUAUGGCUGGAGCAGAGUGAUUGAGGGCAUGUGAAAUGAGAGGUGGCCAGGGUGGCAGGCAGGGACUAGCCCAAUGGCCGUGAAAGGGAUGGGACUUUGGUCACUGUUUCGCAUUUCCAGAUGUUUACUAUGUGCCAGGCUUGGUACUAAAUGCUUUUCUGGAAUAUCUCACUAGAUUCUCACAUAGAUGAAGGGCUUGAUCUUAGAGAGGUUAGAUCCCUCAGCCGAGAGCCCACAGUGAGGAAGCCAUGGGGCCUGUGUCCCUGACUGCAAGACCUGUGCUCAGAACGGCCAGGCCACACAGACCUCAACUCUCACUACAACCUCCUGAAGUCGGUGUGGUUACUCUUCCCACUUUACAGAUGAGGACAUGGGCCCAGAGAGGUUAUGUGAGUGACACAGCUUGAAGGUGGAGUUAAGCCUGGGCAGUCUGGCUUCAGAGUGUCCACAGUCUCAACCACUGCCUCACAUGGCUUCUUAGAAAAUAUUAUAAAAAGAAGCUCGGGCUGCCAUGUGGAAAAGAAUGGAGAGGGGACAAUGACACAGCUGGGAGCAUGCUGUGAUGGUGUACAGCGGACACAUUCAGGAUGAGGUGAAACAGGCUGGCCCUGGUGAGAGGCUAGAUGGGGCUGGGAUGAGGGUGGAGACAAGUAGUCUUGGGGUUGGCUUGGUGCAGCUGGGGGGUGCGGGGAGUGUCUCUGAGGUGAGGCCGGGGGUAUGGGAACGCCAUGUUUGGUCUGGGACACGGUGGGCUUGGGAUGGCUACAGGACAGUGCAGUGGAGAGUCAAAAAGGCUGCUCGGACCCAGGUCUGGCGAGAUGGAAGCUGGAGGUCAGGUGAGCUGUCUAGGAGAGGGACAGAGUGGGAAGGAGAGGGUCUCGACUCGGCUUUCUUGCCAAAGGAGGGUUCCGAAAUGAGAAACUGUGGAAUCUAAGCUGGAGAGGAAGAAAGACGGAGAAUGAGUGAACGCACACGUGUGGGACAGAUAGAUGAAUAUUCAUGUCUUUGGCUCCUAUGUACCUGAGUCUUCUAAAGCUGCAGGCCAUACUACCCCCGGGAGGCUGCAGGGAUGCCAGCUGGGAGAUGAAUGCAACUCUGCUGCCUGGGCAUGGGCCUGAGUGAGGGUGCAGACCCCUGCCUGUGAUCAUCAGGGAGGGUGAUGAGAACAAGGUGGCUGACAGGGAGUGAGCAGCUGACAGGGGAGCCACGAACAGCCUGGAGAGCUGAGCAUGGGCCUGCUCCACACUCCAGCGGGGCCCGAGGCCCCCGGGAACUCUACCCCUCCUGGCAGCCUCACAGAACCUGCUGCAUCCAUCUCAAAAGGCAUACCUCCUCCAGGAAGCCUUCCCCGCUGCUCAGAGGUCUUAAAUCCGGGGUCUGCACUCACAAACUGUGCAGCCUACACCAGCUUCUGGGGGACAGCAGAACACUGUGGGGGGCCUGGCACAGUCCCUGGCACACGGUAGGCACUCAUCGAGCCCCUGCCAGCCCCUCUACUCCUGACUUCUGAGGCAACAGGAAAUGACCCGCCACCUUGUUCUCACAGAGCCUCCCUGCCAGCCCAGAUGGUCACAAGGGCCUCCUGGGAUGCUGCCCACCUUGGCAGCCAGGCCCCUCCGGAGGGGCCAGUCUGGGCCUGACACCCCCGAACACCAACCCCCUGGGCAGAGCCUGCCUGUGCCUGGGUGAGGAACCCUGCAGUCUCCUUGCCACACAAGGCCUGGGUCUGCCUUGGGGCCCAGGCUGCACCCUC